CCUACGGGGGGCUGCAGUGGGGAAUCUUCCGCAAUGGACGAAAGUCUGACGGAGCAACGCCGCGUGAGUGAAGAAGGCCUUCGGGUCGUAAAGCUCUGUCUUCAGGGACGAAUGUGCAGGAUGUGAAUAAUGUCUUGUAAUGACGGUACCUGAGGAGGAAGCCACGGCUAACUACGUGCCAGCAGCCGCGGUAAUACGUAGGUGGCAAGCGUUGUCCGGAUUUAUUGGGCGUAAAGCGCGCGCAGGCGGGAUGAUAAGUCUGUCUUAAAAGUUCG
rnacentral:rRNA from 1 species